rnacentral:rRNA from 1 species
UACGUAGGUGGCAAGCGUUGUCCGGAAUUAUUGGGCGUAAAGCGCGCGCAGGCGGUCCUUUAAGUCUGAUGUGAAAGCCCACGGCUCAACCGUGGAGGGUCAUUGGAAACUGGGGGACUUGAGUGCAGAAGAGGAGAGCGGAAUUCCACGUGUAGCGGUGAAAUGCGCAGAGAUGUGGAGGAACACCAGUGGCGAAGGCGGCCCGCUGGGCAGUGGCUGACGCUGAGGCGCGACAGCGUGGGGAGCAAACAGG